UGAGUGCUAUGAUCGUAAUUUAGUCCAAUACUACUCUUAAUUAAAUCUGACAUCUAGCAGAACUAGAUCCAAUUCAUAGAAUCACAAAAUUCACUCAAAACUGAAGCCUGUUCCCACAGAAGCAUAAGAAAUUAAGAACACCCAAGGUCAUAUGCAUAGAAGAACAAAAAGAUUUUUCCAGAAGCCAAGGAAAACCAGAUCAUGGAAGCCACUAAGGUUCAUUUGGGUAAUGCUAAUUGAUAUGCUAGGAAAUUACUACUCCAGGUUCAGAUAUUAAGAUUUAAGACCAAGCCAGUAACACUCUGAAGGAAAAAUCAACAAGAAGAAAUGAAUAAACUACUCAUAGAAGUUGCACAGAUCAAUACCUAAGCCUGUGAUGUCAAACAAUUAGCCUCCCAAUCAAUUUUCGUUACACUAGGCUGAAG
rnacentral:lncRNA from 1 species